GCCUUCGUGGAGUAGUGGUGUACGCUCGACUCGUAACCGAGAGGUCCGUGGUUCGAUUCCCCGCGAAAGCG
rnacentral:tRNA from 1 species